CUGAUUUCUAUGAUUAGAAACUGUAUAUAUUAGGAACUAACUUCUGCAAAGCCUUUAAAAAAUAAUUUAUGUGAUGCUGGAAGCACAGAUGAAGCUGCUUCUAAAAAUGAAAUAAGACAUCUUGGAACAGCUUUCAGGGAAUGGUAGAUAACUCAGAGCUGAGCUCUGCUAAACCAUUCUGUUCUAAAUUCAGCCUUCUGAUUUAAGGCCAAAUGUUGAUUAUUUCAAAGCAUGAAAGUACAAUCAGGGAAAACUUGAGCCAAAAACAGUUAACAGCUAUGAGGCAAUUGGUCCUUUAAUUCUGUUUUUGAUUUUCUUAAACAAAACCCAAGGAAAGGCAUGGCAGCAGUUAUAGUAUAUCAUUGUUACUGUUGUUGUUGUUGUUGUUGUUGUUACCUUUCUCGUUACAAUACAGAUGUGUUGUCUCAAGAACUCUGCAAAGUCUCAGUGCUGGCUGAUUUCCACAGCGUCAUUGUUUAAACAAACAAAAGUAAAACCACACCAAGGUUUGGCAAUUCUGAAAACAAUCAUUAUUGCUGGUGCUAUACUACAUUUAAUUUGCCCACUAGAUAAUAAAGUUAUUGGAGAAAUUAAGCUGCUAGAAAUUAUACCGCAGGAAGUGGAUUUUAAACUACGGAAAGUAAGAGACUCAGCCAUGAGCGUCUCGGACACAGUUCCCGCUGCUGUACCCGUUACAAAACCCAGGACAUUUCUUUCCUUCUCCCCGCUGACAACUGAUUUGUGCUGAGCUUCACAGAAAUGGUUCUCGUUAUUGUCAUGAGGUUCUACAUUCUUGAUACCCAAUUCCUCGUCUGCAAAAAUAUUUCAAAAAUGAAGUUUCUUGAGACUUUGUUACUACUUCUUUUUUUUUUUUGGUUUAUGUCACCGGAUGAUGUCUGAACAAUCGGAGAGGUGACAUCGUGCGUUUUACUCCUAACGUGUGCCCCGGGCGUCCCUGCUCCGAGGGAUUACCCCAUCCGCUUUAGGAGCUCAGUUUGCAGAUGCUUAGACUAGCUGCAAUUUUGCUCUUUGCA
rnacentral:lncRNA from 1 species